rnacentral:tRNA from 1 species
AAAAAAUUAGUUAAUUAAUAACAUUAGUUUGUCAAACUAAAAUAAUCAAAUUUUGAUAUUUUUUA